rnacentral:rRNA from 1 species
UGGGGAAUCUUGCGCAAUGGGCGAAAGCCUGACGCAGCCAUGCCGCGUGGAUGAUGAAGGUCUUAGGAUUGUAAAAUCCUUUCACCGGGGACGAUAAUGACGGUACCCGGAGAAGAAGCCCCGGCUAACUUCGUGCCAGCAGCCGCGGUAAUACGAAGGGGGCUAGCGUUGCUCGGAAUUACUGGGCGUAAAGGGCGCGUAGGCGGACAGUUAAGUUGGGGGUGAAAGCCCGGGGCUCAACCUCGGAAAUGCCUUCAAUACUGGCUGUCUUGAGUACGGGAGAGGUGAGUGGAACUCCGAGUGUAGAGGUGAAAUUCGUAGAUAUUCGGAAGAACACCAGUGGCGAAGGCGACUCACUGGCCCGUUACUGACGCUGAGGCGCGAAAGCGUGGGGAGCAAACAGGAUUAGAUACCCUGGUA